AGAUUAUCAACAGUUCUAAUGGUAACCAUAUAUUUUGGCCCAUGGGCCAUUCUGGAAUGUAUGUAUUUCGUGUGAAGAUCCUGGAUCCAAACUAUAGUUUCUGUAACCUAACAGCUAUGUUUGCAAUAGAGACAUUUGGACUGAUUCCCAGGUGAAUAUUAAGGUAUAUACCCACCCAAGUACCCACCAACCGAAGAAGGAGUCAAGUGAGUUAGCCAGGAGAAACAGCAAAGGAGGAGGAUCCCACCCACCUGCCCCGCUGUCACCUGCCAGCAGCUAGAGUCCAGCAGCCAGGGCAUAUGAGCACAGCAUACAGGAUAGUCUG
rnacentral:sRNA from 1 species